AAGCAAAACUCUGUGGCAGAUGAACAAAAUUAUCUGGCACAAUUUGAGGUUGCUAGAGCAAGAAAGUUUUACCUAUUUUGGUAAUUCUCUUUCCCUUGAGACAACCCGUUAUAUAGGUUCAAACAAC
ensembl:snoRNA